AUUUUUCCAAAAAUCUCCAAUGAUUAUUUUCUUCUUUUUUACUAUCAUAAAUAAUAUAAAAAAAAUAAAAAGUAAAUUUACUUCAUUCAUUAACCAGAGUUAAAUAUUUUAUCUAUAAUUAACUAUUUUUUUCUAACGGAUCCUAACAAUGGGGAUAUAGUUGAAAAACUUAGGAAUUUUAUAGGAAUAAAUAUAAAAAAUUGAACUUUGUACGGAUAUAUUUAUUAUUCGAUCUAUAGGGAGCUAUAUGCAAUUGAUCCUAUUAAAUAAGCCGAACACA
rnacentral:lncRNA from 1 species